rnacentral:rRNA from 1 species
CCUACGGGUGGCUGCAGUGGGGAAUAUUGCACAAUGGGGGAAACCCUGAUGCAGCGACGCCGCGUGAGUGAAGAAGUAUUUCGGUAUGUAAAGCUCUGUCAGCAGGGAAGAAAAUGACGGUUCCUUACCAAGAAGCCCCGGCUAACUACGUUCCAGCAGCCGCGGUAAUACGGAGGGGGCAAGGGGUAUCCGGGGGUACUGGGUGUAAAGGGAGCGUAGACGGCAGGGCAAGUCUGGAGUGAAAGGCGGGGGCCCAACCCCCGGACUGCUCUGGAAAAUGGCAGGCUGGAGUGAAGGAGAGGUAAGUGGAAUUCCUAGUGUAGCGGUGAAAUGCGGAGAUAUUAGGAGGAACACCAGUGGCGAAGGCGGCUUACUGGACUGUAACUGACGUUGAGGCUCGAAAGCGUGGGGAGCAAACAGGAUGAGAUACCCCAGUAGUC